AAGAGUACAAGUCAAGAGUAAAAUGACUGGUAAACUCAGUUGAUCUCAUUUAGUUCAACCUAUUAAACACGUCUUUAAUGUUUUCUAUUGUUUCUUUAAUGUUUUCUAUUGUUUCAUACUGUAUUUUAGUAAUGACAAUACAUAGAUUCUUUGGGUUCGUGCUCUUUCUUGAACAGUCACCAGUGCCUGCAUAUACCUAAGGUAUAGCAGUGGCCUGUUUUCUUACCAAAUGCCCUCUAACCAAUUCCUGCAACUUCACUAAACCUUUAAGUGCAUUCAAAGCUUUUCUCACUUGAAAAAGACAUUACAUAUUAAGCCCUUUUUUAAGGUAUGAUUAACUUAUGUAAUGGAAUAAGCACAAGAAGAUUAAAGUCAACUGAAUAAAUCUCUGUACUCUGUAAGUACUAAUUUUUAAUAAUCCCAUUUUCGAUUUAUUGAAUUAGUAUGCUGGUUUACAUGAUUAUCAAUAAUCUUGUUCAAUUAAAAAUUUUAUUUUUUGAACAAGACUAUCGAUAAGUUAAGAACUUGUAAGAACAUGACAGAAACUGGAAAAUUUCCAAAAACACAUGAUUAUGGAGACAUAAAUAUGAUUUUCAUGUCAAAGUAGAAAAUUCGUUGUGUUUAAUGUCGUUUGUUAUUUGCACAGAUGUCUGAUCUAAGUAGUGCUGGAAGUAUUGGAUUAGGACUAAUACACGAGGAAGAUAGCAUGACCGAUUUAUUGGAGAGCAAUGUCCCGCAAGAAGAUCCAGUUGAACUGUUACCAAAUGCGGAUGAAAGGACAAUAAACCUAAGUGACGAGGAGCGUGAUAUUGGAGAAAUAUCAUUUGGAAAGAGGAAAUUGACUUCAACUGUGUGGGAGCACUACAAAAGACAGAAAAUUGGUGAGAAAUGGAAGGCUAUAUGCAAUCAUUGCAAGAAACGGCUAGGGGGUGAAACAAAAAAUGGUACAAAGCAUUUGCAUGAUCAUUUAGAGAGAUGUGUAUUCCAUUAUAUGGAUAAUACUCACCAAGCAACAUUAAAUUUCAAAAAGGAUGCCAUGAGUGGCAAGGUCACAUUGGGUACUUACUCUUUCAAUCCAGAUAAGUGUAGAUAUAGUCUUUCGAAAAUGGUGAUUUUGCAUGAGUAUACUUUGUCUAUGGUUGAUCACAUUGGAUUUUGAGAGUUCUUGCAUGACCUACAACCAUUGUUUAAAGUUCCUUCUCGUAACACUUUGAAGAGUGGCAUUUUGAAAAUCUAUGAAUACGAGAGAGCCAAAAAUAUGAUUGCACUUGAGAAGAUUGAGAGACGAAUUUUGAUCACUACCGACAUGUGGACCUCUUCUAAUCAAAAGAAAAGAUUCAUGGUUAUCAUUGCUCAUUUCAUAGAUAAUGCGUGGAAACUGCAGAGUCGAAUCGUGAGGUAUAGUAAAACAUUACAUUCACU
rnacentral:lncRNA from 1 species